rnacentral:tRNA from 5 species
CCCGAACUCGCUCAACGGUAGAGCACGAGACUCAAGAUCUCGCAUUCGAAGGUUCGACUCCUUCGUUCGCCGGACCC